AAAAUAGUCAAGAAAAUUAAUCUUGCCCAUUCCCUCUUGCAUCUUACCAUCUGGCAUUGGUGGGAGACAACUAUUACAAAGUAAUUUGAAAAAAAUAAAGCACAAAACCUCUUUAUGAGCUACUAGGCCUUAUGUGAUCUGCCUCCCUUUCUCAGAAUUUUCCUGAUUGCUGUUCUUUACCUCCUUUAGUUUUCUCUCUCUGGUCCACAUAUAUUUGUCUCCUUGCAAUUCUUUUAACAAACCAAAGAGGAUCUUGCCUAGGAGCCCUUGUGUUUAAUGCGUGUGUACACAGAAAGCUCUUCCACAAACAGUCAAAUGGUAUCAUCCCUAUCCAGGCAUUGCUCAGAUGUUUUUCAACAGAGAGCUCUUUCACUCCGCCACUCCCUAUUUUAUUGCCCACUUCAAAACGCCAUUUAUGUUUAUGUGAAAUGCACACACACAUUCACACAUGCACAAUACAUUUGACAGAGACAAUACAAUCUCCCUCACUUAAAUAUAAGUUUAUUGAGAUAAGAAACUUUGUUUUCUUACCUGUUAUAUCUCCAGUAUAAGUUACAUGCAAAUUACUCAACAAAUAAUUAAUGGAUUAUGAGUAAAGGCACAAAAGUUGCCAAUUUUCUUGCUCCAGCACAAACUAAAGAAGUAUAAUAGUAGGUUGGUACAAAAAUAUUAUGGUUUUUGCUAUUUUUUUAAGUGUUGCAAAAAACUGCAAUUACUUUUGCACCAACGUAAUAGAAAAUACAAUCUGUGACUUAAUAUUAAGAUAAUUUUAACUCCAAAGACAUAAGUAUGAUUUGCAGGUAUAGUCUCUUCUAGUAGUACAAAAGGUGGGAUUAUUUUACAUAUGUCUGAGUAUCAUAACUAAGAAGAGAAAAUUAAUUUCUUAAUCCUUUAGUGUAUCCAAAGUCCCUACAUGCUAGGUUGUUAAUUAAAUACAUGAAUCUGGAACUUGGGUGAGAGGUCAAGGCUAGAGAUACAGGUUUUGGAAUCAUGGCACAGUUCUUAGGUCACCCAAGAAUUAAGUGCAGGUGGAGAACCAAAUGUCAAAACUAUGACUUUUGCUCCAAGAUGUAAAGGUCAGCAUGAGAUGGAGGAAAAACGAUAAAUGCUAACUGGGAACAAGUAGGAAUGAAAGAAGGAAAAAUGUAAGAGUGAGGUGAUAUAGAAACCUAUAUAGGGUUAUAUCAAGGCAGGUGGAGGAAUUAAUUGUGACAAAUCCUGAGCUAUCAAGUAAAAGUGAAACAGAGAAGUGAUCUUUGGAUAAAGUAGUGUUGAGGUGUCAUGUGUCCUCGACAAGAUUAGGCUUAAUGUACAGAUGUUACAGAAAUAUGCCUGGAAUAUGUUAUAGUGUAAAUAAGAUAUGAGGAAGUCUGGCAAUGAGUAGAGGUAGCUCUUUUGGAAAGAUUAAUUAUAGAGGGGAGUAGGGAUGAAUUAAUAAGUUGGUGACUGGAUGGGACUUACUCUCAAGGACACUGUGAAGAAGGGUGACACUGCCAACAUGGCACAGGUAUACAUAUGUAACAAACCUGCACUUUGUGCACACGUACCCUAGAACUUAAAGUAUAAUUUAAAAAAAGAAGGGUGACACUAGAAAAUAUUUGUAUACAAAUGAGGAUAUUAUAAUAAGAGUUUGAGAUACUAAUGCUUGGGGAGAGUAGAGAUAUAAUUUCAGAAGUAAAGGCCGUGGAAAACUCAAACACAUGAAAGAGCUGGUCUUAGGUAGAAGCAGAGAUACAUUAUCCAUAAUGACAUGAAGGGAGAAGGAGGGUAUUUAUAAAGAUGUAGAGGUGGUGAGGAUGAUCAUAUCUUCUUUUUUUUUUUUCAGGAUGAAGUAUGAGGAAAGUUCAGUAACACAGAGUAAAGUGAUGAUUAAUUCUCUCUAACUGUAUUAAGCAGUUUAAAUGGGGGACAUAUAGAAGAAACAAUUAAAUCUAACUAAGUGGGUAUUUAGACAGACGAGCAGAAUGGAGGGAGGGUGGAACCAUGGAGUUGAGCGUAACUAAUAGUGUGUCAUUAUGUGAUAAACCACGAAAUCUCAGCUGGGUAAUGAGUGAAAUGCGGACAUAAGACAGUGGUGAAUAAUGAUAAAGUACAACUAUCCUUAGAGUGGUGAUUUAAGACAAAAGUUAAGGGAUAAAUAUGAUAGCAGAUAAACCAGAAUAAAAGUAAAUAUGAAGGAGAAUGAAAGUUCUGAUACAGUUUUGGAUGUGUUUCAGAGAAACCUCAGUUAACAAUUGAAAGUGGAAGUUAUUGGAAUAUGACAUGAAAGGGCUCUUGCAGGUGGUUAGGAGGAAACAGUUCUUCUUUUGUGGUCUCUAAUGAAUAUUUUAUUUAUUUAUUUAUUUAUUUAUUUAUUUAUUUGAGACGGAGUCUCGCUCUGUUACCCAGACUGGAGUGCAGUGGCGUGAUCUCGGCUCACUGCAACCUCUGCCUCCUGGAUUCAAGCUAUUAUCCUGCCUCAGCCCCCCGAGUAGCUGGGACUACAGGCACCUGCCACCAUGCGCAGGUAAUUUUUGUACUUUUAGUAGAGACGGGGUUUCACCAUAUUGGCCAGGCUGGUCUCGAACUCCUGACCUUGUGAUCCGCCCACCUCAGCCUCCCAAAGUGCUGGGAUUACAGGCGUGAGCCACCACACCCAGCCUCCAAUGAAUUUUUUAAGAAUGAGGUGGUCUCAGUUGGAACACUGAAAACACUGGUGUCUCCCUCCUGGUCUACAGUGGAUGGCGGAAUAGAAAGAAAUUAGAACUAGACAUUUACCUAACUCCAAAUCAUUACACAGACUUCCUUCAACAUGUCAUCUCAUCACAGAAGGCUGUUGUCUCAUUGCUCCAACAUUGAGAGUUUCCUCCUCACUAUGAUAAGCAAUACAGAUACAAUUUUCUUUGAUAAGUAUUUAUUGAAAAUUAUGUGAACCUUUAGGAAGAGCAGAGAUAAAACGUUGAAGUACAUUGAUUACUACCAACAAAAUAUUCAGUUUAAUUCAAAAGUCAGUAAAAUAUUCCCCCAUUAUUCUUGUGGUUCCCACAAUAUCAUAAUACCUGAUAAGACUUAUUCAUCUAUCUGAUUUGGUACCUCUUGACAUACUUGUAGGUAGAGUAGUGUUAUUAUUUAUUAUGAAUGCUGUGGCACACUACCCAGAUUUUUUUUUUU
rnacentral:lncRNA from 10 species